rnacentral:rRNA from 1 species
UGAGUACGAGAUGCUACGGCAUCGAAGCAGUCUAUGUCAUACUUCCAAGAAAAGCUUGCACUGUCAUAAACAAAGAAUGCCUGUACCAUAACCGACACAGGUGGGUAGGUAGAGUAUACUAAGGGGCGCGAGAUAACUCUCUCUAAGGAACUCGGCAAAAUGACUCCGUAACUUCGGGAGAAGGAGUGCCUUAUUUCUAAGGUUGCAAUAACAAGAUCCAAGCAACUGUUUACCAAAAACACAGGUCUCCGCUAAGUCGUAAGACGAUGUAUGGGGGCUGACGCCUGCCCAGUUCCAGAAGGUUAAAGAAGUUGGUUAGCAUUAGCGAAGCUGAUAACUGAAGCCCUGGUGAACGGCGGCCGUAACAAUAACGGUCCUAAGGUAGCGAAAUUCCUUGUCGGGUAAGUUCCGACCCGCACGAAAGGCGUAAUGAUUUGGAUACUGUCUCGGAGAGGGGCUCGGUGAAAUAGACUUGUCUGUGAAGAUGCGGACUACCUGCACCUGGGCAGAAAGACCCUAUGAAGCUUUACUGUAACUUGAGAUUGAAAUUGGACUUUAUUUGCGCAGUAUAGGUGGGAGGCGUUGAGAAUAAUCUUGCGGGAUUGUUGGAGCCAUCAGUGAGAUACCACUCUUGUAAUGUUAGAUUUCUAACUUUGUAUCAUUAUCUGGUCAAAGAACAGUUUCAGGCGGGCAGUUUGACUGGGGCGGUCGCCUCCCAAAGGGUAACGGAGGCGCACAAAGGUUUCCUCUGAACGGGUAGAAAUCGUAUCUAGAGUGUAAAGGCAUAAGGAAGCUUGACUGUGAGACCUACAAGUCGAGCAGGGACGAAAGUCGGUCUUAGUGAUCUGACGGUGCUGAGUGGAAAGGCCGUCACUCAACGGAUAAAAGUUACUCUAAGGAUAACAGGCUGAUCUCCCCCAAGAGUUCACAUCGACGGGGAGGUUUGGCACCUCGAUGUCGGCUCAUCGCAUCCUGGGGCGGUAGUCCGUCCCAAGGGUUGGGCUGUUCGCCCAUGAAAGCGGUACGCGAGCUGGGUUCAGAACGUCGUGAGACAGUUCGGUCCAUAUCCGGUGUAGGCGUUAGAAUAUUGAGAGGAGCCUUCUCUAGUACGAGAGGACCGAGAAGGACAUACCUCUGGUGUACCAGUUAUCGUGCCAACGGUAAACGCUGGGUAGCUAUGUAUGGAGUGGAUAACCGCUGAAAGCAUCUAAGUGGGAAGCCCACCUCAAGAUAAGUAUUCUC